CGCCUGUUUAUCAAAAACAUGUCUUUUGAUUNAUAAUUUAAAGUCUGGUCUGCCCACUGAUUUUAUAAUUGAAGGGCUGCAGUAUAUUGACUGUACAAAGGUAGCAUAAUCAUUAGUCUUUUAAUUGAUGACUAGAAUGAAUGAUCGGAUAAAAUAUAAACUGUCUCUAAAUAAAUUUAUAAAAUUUAAUUUUUUAUUUAAAAAGUUAAAAUAAUUUUAAAAGACGAGAAGACCCUAUAGGGUUUGAUAAAUAUUAUAAAUUAAAAUUAUAUAUAAAUAUUUAAUUAAAAAUUAUAUAUUUAUUUUAUUGGGGUGAUAGAAAAAUUAAUUAAACUUUUUUUAUAAGUAAUACUUAUAAACAUAAAUAAUUGAUUAUAUGAUCCAAGUUUGAUUGAUUAUAAGAUUAAAUUACCUUAGGGAUAACAGCGUAAUUUUUUUUUUUAGUUCUUAUAAAAAAAAAAGUUUGCGACCUCGAUGUUGGAUUAAGAUAAAAUUUAAAUGCAAAUGUUUAAAAUUUUGAUCUGUUCGAUCAUUAAAAUCUUACAUGAUCUGAGUUCAAACCGGAG
rnacentral:rRNA from 1 species